ensembl:snoRNA
AGGCAUAAAUUAAUGCUUUGUAGCCAAUUUCUUGCCCUGGAGUUCGGUAUCUUGGGUUGUAGGAGCUGCACGCAUAAGUAACAAAA